AAGAAAGACUUAUUAGUGUCUUGGCAAGAAUAAUGUGAUAUUAGUAAGUAAAGGUGUCCAUUUGGGAAAAAAGAAAAAAAAGCCAACACUGGAAUAGAUGUUUCAAUAGAUGUUUCAAUAGAUGUCCUAUUGAAACUACCUAAACUCAGCUCUAGGCUUAUAAUGCAUAAAUACGUUCAAUUCUCACCUAAGUUAUGCAAUGAUGUUUCUCUCUUUGAGGAAAUUUUACUGAAUGUAAUUUGUAAAAGUUUUACUGAAUGUAACUUAUAAACAUUUUAUCCAUCAGAACUACAAAGUAGAUUUUAAAAGGUCAGCCCCUGAUAUUUGGCUAAGACCAUAUUUUAUGCGCUUGAGUGAGGCUUGGUUUUUCCUGUAGAAAGUAUUCUCCCUUCAUCAAUAACCCUUCAUUUGGUAUCUAGAAGUGGAAAGCUUUUUCAUUCUCUAACAGAAUUUUUAAAAAUUAAUUUACACAUGCCUUGCGCAGUUUGCAGAUACCAUGUAUUGUAAACAUUCAUGUCGUUUUAUUUUUUUUUUCUACCUGAAUGUGUAUUGUAAUAAUUUCAAAUACACUUAAACAUUGCCAACUCAAGAAACAGCAGUACUGUGAGAAUUUGUUAUUUCACAUUUCAUUUCGUUGUGGAUAGAUGUUAUCUGUUGAGAUAAGCUGAUAUAGUGGAAAGGAUAAAUAUAGAUAAAUUUCAGAAAUGGGUUUAAAAAGUGGGACUUUGAACAGCAGAUCAGGAUUUUAAAUGAUUUAAGAUGACUUGUGAAUCACUUUUGUAAUCUUAUGUAUAUGCUACAAAUAGACUCCUGGGUUAUUGCUACAGAAAUGGCUGUCCAGGAGCUUGGUAAAUUUGCCUGGGUGUCUUUUGUUAAAUUGGUUGUGGUUCCUUUCUGUUGCUAGAAUGUGGUUGUGCAGAAGACAGAUAAUAAAUAUUUAAAUUUUUCCUUACAAUGAAAAAUGAAAUUA